UGGAAAUGACCUGGGGUCAAAGAAUUUAGUU
rnacentral:piRNA from 1 species